rnacentral:lncRNA from 1 species
UUCCUCGUCUCUAAUUCCAAUCCGGUCUCCAUUUCGGAUCCAAAGCGGACAACAUGAUUGCCACAGUAAGUGAUCCCCAUCUCGAAUCUCAUAUCUCCUCUCCCUUUUCGUCCUCCUCGCAGCAAUCGAGUGAUCUCUGGACGCAGCGGUUUAUCGAUCUCUUCCUGGCCUUGUCGGUCUCUUUUCGGGGUGGAUUCGAUGGUUUCUUUUCUUGCUGAGGUUACAAAGCCGGAAUCGGUCGAUAAACCUCUGCAUCCGGACUUCCGCCGACAACCAUUCCUCCGUCCUCCCCCCAACCCAAAACACUCCCCCCCCAACCCCACCUUCUUCCUCCACUUGUUUUCGUCAUCUUAUAUAAUGAUUGGGCAAUGAAGAGGUGGUAGCUGUUAGGGCUAAUUGAUACGGCCGAUUCGAUGCCGAUUUCGAUCCCUUUUUUUUACUCAGAUUAUUGUCGGCAUUCUGCAGAAUUUCAAUCAACGAAUAAUGGUGCCAUCAGCAUUUAGAUCGAUUCAAAAUGGGUGACGUCUUGAGUUGUGAUGAUGGACAGAGAAAACAGUAAAUAUGUUUGAUUUAAUGUCUCUCAGUUCUUUCUUAUGCCUUCAAUUUUUCAUUGUUCUUUUGGAUUCGUUUAUCAUUUCAUUAUCUUCACCAUUUGAUCUAUCCAUAUUUUGGAUUAUUCACUGAAUAGGACGUAAAUGUUUUGUAUUAAACAGACAGCAGAGGACUACUAGAAAUCUUUAUUUACAGAAACUACCAUUAUUGGUUAAUUCGUCAAGGAUGAGAGGUCGGAAUAUACUCUGAGAUGGCUUAAACUUUGCUUUGGGAGGACUAAAUGGGGAAAAUAAGCUCAACUGGUCAAAUUAAUGUGACAGGAUGGCACAGUUUUUAUGAAGAUGAUUGAGAUAUAUUCCAUAUUUUGAUGUUUAAACAGUUAGCCUCAGAAAUAUUUUUCAUUUAAUUUAUUCCUUCUACCAAGAUUUGUUGUUCUCCAUGGAUGUGAACCUCCCUAUAUUUGUUAUGUUUGCAAUGCUUGAAGGUGAAUCUGUAUAAAGAAUUUAAACAUAAAUAUUUUUCUAACAUUUAGCCACACGAAUAUUUUUCAUUUAAUUAAUUCCUUUUACCCAGAUUCCUUGUUCUACAUGCAUGUGAACAUCUCUAUAUUUGUUAUGUUUGCAAUGCUUGAAGGUGAAUCUGUAUAAAGAAUUUAAACAUAAAUAUUCUUCUGACAUUUAGCCACAGGAAUAUUUUUCAUUUAAUUUAUUCCUUUUACCAAGAUUCCUUGUUCUACACGGAUGUGAAACCAUCUAUAUUUGUUAUGUUUGUAAUGCGUGAAGGUGAAUCUGUAUAAAGAAUUUAAACAUCAAUAUUUUUCUAGAAAAGAGCUAUAUGGUACAUGUGUUUUUUUUUUUACUGUGAGAGCAUGUGGUGUAUUUUGUUGUGUGAAUUAUACUUGCUGAAAUAUGGUGGUGGUCAUGAAUACUGAUCUUUGGAUUAUUUAAUUGCGUGCAUGACAUAGCUACCUGUUUAUAACAUGUGUUCUGUUGGAUGUGUUUCAAAUGAUUGACAAGGUUUUAUAUUUCAUUCUUAUCUGCAAAAACAUAAAUUGCAUACUUUGUGAAUUAGAAUACAAUGCAUAUGGAAAACAAAGCAGUCAAGUAAUCUGCAUGCUGAAUGUGUGCCUGACUCUGUUUUUUGGGUAGAAGGGUCUAAAUUCUUAAUGCAUUACGAUAGACAAGGCGAGUGAGAGAAGAGAAACUUGCCAGGAACCAUUUUGAGAGAUAUAACUACAUUUAUGUAUUUCCAACCUCAUUUUCCUUGAUGUAUAAAUAGCCCUGAUAUCGUGGAUACCUUGUGUAAAAAUGAUGAUAUUUAAUUAUCAUCUUUCUUGUUUUCUUUCCUAAUGACCUUACUACCUUCUCUACUUGUUGGAUAAUUAAUAAGACAUAGUAGCUUCCCAGGGCAUAGCUGACCAUGCAUAAAAACCAACAUACCUUUGUAUUUGUAUUCAAAUCAAUUGGCAGGAUAAUAGACUUGUCUAGUUGAUUGAAAUUAUGAUAGCAGUUUAUUUUCUCUUUUUAAGGUAAAAUGUUGUUGCUAUUGCUGUGUGUCAUCAAUUAAAUGCAAGAAUAUCUUCUUGCUUUUCUUUUCUCCUCCUGUAUACUUGUGUGAAUUUUGGUAACUGUCCUAUGGAGCACAAUCUUUUUGAGGCCUUCAUGCCAUGUUAUCUUUUGUAACAUUUCAAAAGAAGUGAGAGUGUGACCAAUUAAACAGAUCGUCCGGUUCUUUCAGAUUAUUAUUCAUGCUUUAUUUUGUUAAAUCUUGAGUACUUCCUAAUUGAGGACUUUUAUUAUGUCAUUCUCAAGUGCCUGAUUUAUGUUAUUUUCUUGUUUGUCUUAGUAACUAUGAUAAAAUAGUUUGCUUCCUCUAUUAGGUCAGACUCUAUUGUUAAUGUCAUAUAGUUUCAUGUAAAGAAUGGGUCGCCUAGUGGAUGAGACCUCGAUCAAUUUAGCUAGUGUUGGAUAUGUAUGUGAAAUAUAUUAUUGAAGUUGCUCAUAUCGGAGAACACAAAAGUUACUUCAUUAGUUUUACUGAAUUUGUUCCACUUAGUCCUUGAGAUGUGUGGUUUUUUUUUUCUUUUUUUGUGCUGCCUUCUUGCAACCUUAAUAUCAACAUUCUGCAUGUUUUAGUUGGUUAGUAAAUAAAGGGUCUGCAUGAUCUUGGAACCUUAAGGUGUUAAAGGCUGUAAGAAGAUCUUUUUCCAAUGUAUGAAAACAUAUAAAAAAAAUGAUGAACCAAUUAACUUGACUAUACAAACCCCAUUUUCUUGGCCAAAAUUUAUCUUUGCAACCAUUAUAAGUUUCAGUUAUGCUCAUUCAGCGCUUGAUUUCACUCAACUUCCUUCAAAAUGAUUUGAAGAGUAGACACACAGUGUUCUACCCCAUGCUCAGAGGCUAGUAGUAUUUAGGGACCUUUUUUGCUGAACCACUUCAAUUCUAGGCCAUGAUGAAAUUACUGUUUUAUCAGCAAAGAACACACUGUGAGUGCAAUCUGAUGCUCUUUCAAGUUCAAACUCUGGUUAUCGGAGGAUCUUGUUCUCAUUUAGCCUAUUUACUGUCAGUAAAGUAUUACACCUUUCAUCUUGAGUUCAAGGGCUCAAUGAAGCCAAGUUAUGGUUAAUGUUGCAGAACUUUAUACAGUGUCUCCUUUCACUGCAUAUGCACCACCUGCAUCAUAUUUUCUUCAUUGUUCGCCCGAAUUGGUGUACUGCAAUAGUUUAUAUGCACCAAAUUUGAUGUUAUGAACGUCUCUCCUCCAUAUAUAUUCCAUAAAUUUGUUGAGCUACCAAUGUAGAACAUCGUUCAUAGUUUCUUACAGCUUGUAGCUUCGUCUUCAAACAAUCAAAGCACCUUCGCUGACGUAUGAUGCAGCUUUCUUCAUGUAGAACAG